GAUGAACGCUGGCGGCGUGCCUAAUACAUGCAAGUCGAGCGAACAGACGAGGAGCUUGCUCCUCUGACGUUAUCGGCGGACGGGUGAUUAACACGUGGUUAACCUAACUAUAAGACAGGGAUAACUUUGGGAAACCGGAGCUACUACCGGAAAAUAUAUUGAAUCUCAUGGUUCAAUAGUUAAAGAAGGUUUUGCUGUCACUUAUAGAUGGAUCCGCGUGUCAUUACUUAGUUGGUAGGGUAACGGCUUACCAAGGCGACGAUGGUUAGCCGCCCUGAGAGGGUCAACGGCCAGACGGGAGCAGAGGCAGAGUCCCGACUCCGACAGGGGGCAGCGGUCGAGACUCCUACGCGAUGGAGGAGAGCCUAACAGAGCAAAGUCGCGUAAGUGAUGAUGGUCUUCGGCCCGUAGAACUCUGUUGUUAGGAAGGAACUAAUGUGUAAGUACCUAUGCACGUCUUGACGGUACCUAAUCAGAAAGCCACGGCUAACUACGUG
rnacentral:rRNA from 1 species